UGAAUUCAGUACUCACCAAAUGCACUGGUCGCAACAUUUUGAGAACUGAGAUCAGAUCGGCCAGGAUCGGCUUUAUAUAUGUCUUUGCUAGCACAAACAGUUGCGAAGAAGGAUUGAGAUGACACACAAGAUUGCGAAGAAUAAGGGAAGUAGUAUCUUUCGAAUAUGUUCUGUGUGAUACAAAUAGAUUAUGCCCUAAGGUAGUAACAUUUUAAGGGCAGUAAUAAGUACACCGUGGUGUUAAGUUUUGUAGUACGUGUGAAAUCGGAGAUAUUCUUUGGUUCUAAGUGAGAGAGAACUUCGGUGUACAUGGUGUACAUUGUUAAUGAAUCGUAUUGUUAUUUUAAUAACGAGAAGUACGCGUAAUAUGAAUAAAUUAGAUCGAUCGUGAUAUGUUCUGAGAAAUUUUUCUGGUAAACAGUAGGAAACUAAUAUAAGGAAAAAUAAAUUACAUAUUAUACGCAGUUUGUCUUUAAAUACUUUGUUUACAAAGUCAUAAGGAAAUAUUGAUAAGUAAGCAUGCAGCUAAGAAUGCGUUUUUUAAUUACAGGAUAUGAAACGUUGUCUUAUUACGAUAUAGUUAUUGAAGGUGUGACCUGUUGUUUACAUCGAGUCAUUCUAAUCAUACGAAUACAGUAGAAUAAACAGGAUUGUAAUUACAUUCGUAUUUUACGAUAAAAUGUUCUUCGUCCGAACAUAUUCUAUGUAUGUUUAAUUGCUAAAACGAUGUUUUGGGAAUAAGGGCAGGACUUUUCGAUAUCAUACCUUAAAUCGACAAAUUGCAUCGUUCACUUUGAGAAUAAAUCACGGCAGAUACAAAUUCGGCAUUUGACGAUUCUAAUAUCUAGUAUGAAUCUAAUAUCGAUUAUUGAAAAUAUUCGAAGAGACAGAGACGAGAUAGGAAUACAAACAAUUUUUCCCUUCGAUACUACGUCAAAAGCAAAUGAAAGAAAGAAUAUAGUUAAGUAUUAAAAUAUUAAUGAAUCUCAUCAUUUUAUUAGUAUUAAUAGCAACAUUUUAUUAUCUUAUAUUAAUGUACUAAGUAUUUUCUAAGGCUAAUAUAAUUAAGGAUAUAAAAAAAUAUGUCUUCAAUUUUAUGUGGUGCAUCGACUCGUUUAACAAACGAAUAUAAAAUAAAAGA